rfam:Picea glauca, whole genome shotgun sequence.
AUGUACAUUCCUACAGCAUAGCAUUAAUGCAUCGGAUCCCAUUAGAACUUCAUAGUUAAGCACUCUCGGACUAGAGUAGUACUGGGAUGGGUGACUUCCCGAGAAUUCCUAGUGUUUUACAUG